UCCAAAAUCAAAACUAUUGAAAACUGGUCAGCAUCGAAGACGCCUACAGAAAUUCGUCAAUUUCUAGGCCUCGCUGGAUAUGACCGCAGAUUCAUUCAGAACUUCUCUCGGAUUGCGAAACCUCUCACCACAUUGACUCAGAAAGGUGUGACAUUUGACUAGGGAGAGAAACAGGAGAAGGCAUUCCAAACCCUGAAGCGAGCCCUAUGCACCGCACCGAUAUUAUCCCUUCCCGAAGGGACAGAAGAUUUUGUGGUAUACUGCGAUGCAUCAAACCAGGGGCUUGGUUGUGUUCUGAUGCAACGAGGUAAGGUCAUUGCCUAUGCCUCAAGACAGCUGAAGAUACACGAGGUCAACUACACCACGCACGACCUCGAAUUAGGAGUGGUUUUGUUCGCCCUAAAGAACUGGAGACAUUAUCUGUACGGUACGAAGAGCACGAUAUACACCGAUCACAAAAGUCUACAACACAUAUUCAACCAGAAGGAGCUCAACAUGAGACAACGACGGUGGGUCGAGCUACUCAAUGAUUAUGAAUGCGAAAUUCGCUAUCAUCCGGGUAAAGCCAAUGUGGUAGCGGACGCCGUAAGCUGGAAAGAACAUUCUAGUCGAAGAGUCAAGUCGUUAACGAUGACUAUCCAUUCGCAUCUCUCCGCACAGAUUAAGGAAGCUCAGCUCGAAGCGUUGAAGCCUGAAAAAUGUGACGGGAGAAUCCCUGCGAGGAAUGGAAAAAAACAUGGAAAUCAAGGGUGACGGAGCCUUAUAUCUCAUGGACCGAAUCUGGACACCGCGUCACGGUGGCUUCAGAGACUUGGUCAUGAAGGAAGCCCACAACACUCGAUACUCCGUUCACCCCAGAUCAGAUAAAAUGUAUCUCGAUCUUAAAAGGUCAUACUGGUGGCCUAACAUAAAAGCACAGAUUGCUACCUUCGUAAGUAAAUGCCUUACUUGCGCCAAGGUCAAGGUCGAAUACCAAAAGCCAUCAGGUCUUCUCCAGCAACCAGAGAUACCAGAGUGGAAGUGGGAUCGGAUCACUAUGGAUUUCAUAACUAAGCUACCCAAGACAACGGGUGGGCUACAUACGAUAUGGGUCAUCAUCGACAGAUUGACCAAGUCCGUACAUUUCCUGCCCAUCAAAGAAACAGACAAGAUGGAGAAACUCACAAGAACAUACAUUAAGGAAAUCGUACGGCUGCAUGGUGUCCCUAUAUCUAUUAUUUCUGAUAGAGAUAGUAGGUUUACUUCGAGAUUUUGGCAAUCACUGCAAAACGCAUUAGGGACAAGGCUGGACAUGAGUACAACCUACCAUCCACAGACCGACGGACAAAGUGAGAGAACUAUCCAAACCCUGGAAGAUAUGCUGCGAGCCUGUGUGAUUGACUUUGGUAAGGCAUGGGAUACCCACUUACCCCUUGUCGAGUUUUCCUACAACAACAGUUAUCACACGAGCAUCAAGGCAGCCCCAUUCGAAGUCCUCUAUGGCCGAAAGUGCGAAUCCCCUCUAUGCUGGGCUGAGGUGGGUGACACUCAGUUAGCUAAAGGAAGCAUUCCUGACAGCGCUCUCAUGGGUCCGGAGAUCAUUCGAGAAAUGACCGAGAAUAUCGUACAAAUAUGUGAACGACUAAAAGCCGCUAGAGAUCAACAGAAAAGCUACGCAAACAAACGAAGAAAACCCUUGGAGUUCCAGGUGGGAGAUCGAGUCCUUUGGAAAGUCUCACCUGGAAAGGCACGUACGCUUUGGAAAGCAUGGAAAGCUGAAUCCAAGAUACAUAAGGCCUUUCGACAUUCUCGCCAGAAUCGGCCUCGUAGCUUACAAACUCAACCUACCCCGCGAUCUCAGUAACAUACAUCCUACCUUCCAUGUCUCCAAACUGAAAAAGUGCCUAUCGGACGAGACUCUCGUAAUCCCACUCGAUGAGAUCAAAGUCAACGAGACCCUCAAAUUCGUGGAAGAGCCUACGGAGAUCAUGGACCGAGAGGCCAAACGAACGAAACUAAGCUGCAUCCCAACUGUGAAGGUUCGCUGGAAUGCCAAGCGAGGACCGGAGUUCACUUGGGAGCGCGACGAUCAAAUGAAACUCAGAUAUCCUCAUCUCUUUGCUUAGUUGUAUUGUAAUAACUUAACUACUUAAAUUCUAAAUUUCGAGACGAAAUUUCCUCUAACGGGGGGAUGAUGUGACAACUUGAAAUCUAUUCCGUUACGGUAUCCUAUUUCCGUUAAUAGAAUACUUUAUUUUAUUAUUGUUAUUAAGAUUUCCGUUAACAUUUGGGUUGGACAAAUCAACUAAUGAUUUAUUUUAUUUUAGUGUCGAAAUGAAAUAAGUAAAAACACGCGUAAUACCCUCAAAUUUAUUUGGGAAAAAUUUUAGUUUGCAACUAAUCCGGGUUACAACCAUUUAAUCGGGUAAAAAUUUAAAAUCCGUUUAACGUCAGGUAGAUUUCCCACCUGGCCACAAACCCAACCCCUAUAUAAGGGUUGAGUAGGCACUAAAUGGAACUUUUCCCAUUCUAGUCACUCUCUCUCUCUCUACUCUCUCUCUUGAAGGCUUUGUUCUACCAAAAAUCCGCAAGUUUUAGCUCCCAAACUGUAAGUUCUCUUACCCUAGAUUGUUUUAAAGCUCAUUACAUGUCUCUAUAGCUUGAAAAUCAUCCAAAAAGGCCAAGAAGAAGGAUUUUAUGGCCCAAGAACCCUCUUAGGUCGUAAACCCCUAAAAGGGUUCCAAAAUGCCCCCAAAUCCUUUCCAUAGGCUUAGAGGCUAACUUAGAACUUACUCUUGAAGUGUUUUGGACAUUAAACAUUAAGUUUGGAGGCUUUAAAGAGGGUUUACGGCCCAGGAACACUCUUAGGCCGUAAACUCCCUCAAAUGAUGCAAAUUGAGCCUUAAACCCCCUAUUUAGCCUUGGAUCUUCACUUAGAAACUUGUAGGAGUGAGCUAAGGACCUCAAAAUCGAAGUAUAUGGGGUGUCCAAGAGUUUACGGCCAUAAACCAUGGGGUUCACGAUCGUAAAAUUCCAAGGAGUGGUCCUAGGACCGCAAACUCCAAGGGAGUGCCCCUUUUGAACCCUAAACACCCCUCAAGCCAUGGAUUAAACCCUAGAACUCUUCUUAAUGAUGUAAGAGACCCUUGAGCACUCAACUACACCCGUCCCAUGAGUUUACAGCCGUAAAAUCAUGGGGGAAAUGGUCCCUCAACUGUAAACUCACCUAAGGUGAGCAUUUGAGGAGUAAACUCCAUAGUGAGGUCAUAUGCUCCUUAGAUGCAACCCUUGGCACUCCUAGCACCUAAAACAAAGUGUUUUCAGGCAUCAGGGUGUAAUUAAUUACUUAUUUAAUGAUUAAAUAACUAAUUAGACACCAUUAUGUGUCACCACAUAUGUUCAUAGGAUCUGUGUGAGUGUUCAAGUCCUCAUUUGACACCUAGCGUCCUACCCGACAUUUUCAUCAGCUCAACUCACUGCAGGUGAGUUCAUACCCCUUAAUUAACCUUUCAAAUGUUUUUUUAAAAUGUUUUAGGGGGGGGGGGGGAUACAAGUUAAAUACAACAAGUUAUAGUAUCAAAUCAUAUAUGAUUUAUGACUUGAAAUAAAAAAGGAUUUCUAUACUUUUAGCUAUUGGUCAACAAAACUGUUUUAAAUCUUUCUCAAACACAUUUUUCUAUUUUAAAUUGUUAUUAAAAUAUUUUCAAACUGUAUUUAAACAACUUUUCUUUUAAACUAUAUCUAUACCAAUAUAUUUAUAUACGUAAGACUUGAAGGACUUAGGACCGAUAGCUCGCCUUAUUUCCUGUUCUUGUUUGAUUGUGGUCUUAGGGUAGACUGUUAUCCGUCCGACUGUCGUUGAAUUCUUAGCUAUAUAUCAUAUAUAUUUGUGUUAGAUAUGAAAGUCUUCACCUUAUUAAAUACCUUUGUAGAUCAAAGGCAUGCAAACCCACACUCUAAUUAACUAUAAUAGGUAUAGUUAAGACUACUGCUCAUUACCUCUAUUACUAUGAUACUCACUAUAAUUACUACUUUUACAAGUUAAUGCAUGUUAAAGAGAACACUGUAUAUACUAUACUAAAAGUUCACUAUACUAUAAUACAAGAGAAUACACUAAUCCAGAAUAUGACACACUAUCCCUCUAUACGGCACUCUACUGUGGAAAUACCAUCUAACCAGAGCUUCCCGGAAGGAAAGAAACACUACAUGUAUGGAUCUAUAUAGGACGGACACUAGUACAUCCCGACUGCUAACUACAUUCUGAGCUGAUUAGGCCCAGGGGUGACAAUACAUCGCUACACUACGUAUGACCGGGAAGGUCAUCAGCCUCUCUAUUAUCACUCAGUUUGGUUACAUGAGAAAUCAUAUCCUUAUCCAAAUUAACACACUAAGAAUUAAAGGUUAAGCUAAUUUCCCGAAGUAAAUAAAUAUAUCUUACAAAUUGAAGUUUGCAACAUUACUACAGCCAGCCGGCAAGAUCUUUCUUCAUCUGUUUUACUUGAAUGAAAUCUAUUAACUUAUUUUUAUAACUGAAAGUUUCAAUAGGAAUACUUUUACACACUCGAAGGAUUAAACUUACAAAUGCUCGAAUCUGGAAAAUAUAGGAUUUUCUAGGGAUUUGUAUUAUUCUCAAACAUUAAUCACAACUUUUAUAUUACAUGAUUGUAAACACUUUUAUACAAGCAACGACACUAAAUUCUUAUGAACUCACUAGCUUUAUGUUGAUACUGUUUUUCAAAAUAACUUGUAUUCUCAGGUCAAAAAUAGACAGGUACUGGUGCAGCUUUUGAGGAGAUGGAGCAUUCAAGACCCAUCUUUUAUUUUUGUUUAUACUUUUGGUGUCUAUCAAACUGUACAGAACACGCUUGUAUUUACAAUUACUAUACUAAUGCAAUGAUUGUUGUUGCUUGUUUUUAAUAUUAUGCAACUGUUAUGAUACUGUACAUGACGUCCUCCACCCCAGAACGUAUUCCGCCGUUCUCGGUUUUGGGGUGUGACAGAUUGGUAUCAGAGCAUUGUUUAUAGUGAAUCAACUAUAUCAACCCAUAAAAGAUAUACNNNNNNNNNNNNNNNNAUAUACGAACUAUAAACACUUCGGGACUAAAACACUCUGACCAAGAAUAUAUACUUUUAAAUGCUAAAAUAUUUAAUUAAGUAUAUAUAUACAUUCACCAAUACAAAGGGUCAGUAUCAUACUAGAACAAAACAAAAGUGUUAAGAUUGUUGAACAACACAAUUAGGCUUAGAGACAUAUAGUCUCAUUUGGUGGAUGUAGCCUGAUCAACUACAUUUUUCUAAGAGUGACUAGCAUGUGCCUAAGAGUGAUUGUGGUGUUGCAACAAGUCUAAAAACUUACCAACACUACCACAAGAACGUUAGAACAACAAUACUAUAGGAGUAUUCUGCAUUCUGCUAACUACAUAUGUGAUAACUAACAGGGUCGUCACUAGUAGGGCAAUAGUUGCUAAGUGGAUACACCACGGUUACAUGUGACUAGGGCGCUAUAGACUUAGAAUCUGUGACCUUUGCUUCAUUUACUGUUCUUGUUCGAUCGGGGAUCUGGAGUUAGGGUCGCUUAUUCGGAGGACUAUCUUGCUUCAGUUACAUGUAAUUGAUAUGCACUAUGCAAGUAUUGGGUCAACUAAUAACGAUCAUCUUAUAAGUAUCCUAGAUUAGUACGUCUAUUAACCUUCCUUUCCCUAUUCUCACGUAGAUAGCAUGGCUGGAUUCUACCUUCCCCGCGAUCCGUAUUAUCAGAACCAAGGCAAUGGAGGAUGGCUCGAUGGGGAACCAGAAGAUGAUCACUCGGUCCCUUUAGAUGAUCACCGUGCUGAAGGAUUUUCGGAUAGCUCCGACUCCAAACUAGAAGUCAACAACCUGCCCCCAGUAUCUCCAAACCCUAACCCCCGUCGGACAUUUCAAGGUCCCCCCCCAUGUGGGAAAUAACCGUGAACCGAUGAAGCGACGAGCAGGGUCAGCCUGUAUCUUUCAACGGAGACCGCAACUUCUACAACAUAAGCAAAGGAGGAUCAGCGGACCAAGUCUUGCCUGUCAUGGUCCGUAGGAUUGCCAGGAACACCGAACAAGGUCAAGCAGCCAUUGGAAGAGUCAUGGAAAUUGAUGCCAACUCUAGCCUUAACACUGUCCUUAUCCGCCAACUGGAAUAAGAUAUGAAUAGGACUAGGAGGACCAAUGAGGCUCUACAGCAACAGGUAGCUGCAUCCCUAGCCGAAGUUAGGGAACUUCGAGCACAUCAGAGGGUUCAGGAGAGACAUAUUCAAGAAGUUGUGCGCCAACUGGCUGAUCUGACGGUUCACCCAAUGGAUACCCGUCGCUAGUAGAAGAUAUCAACUUAUCUUUCCCUUUCGUUUAAGGAAUAGCCUUUCUCUUUCUAUGCUCGGUAGAGCACUUGUCUGUAAACAUUUCUAACUCUGAAAGUACUUUACCUAGACUCCUAGGCUGCCAACAUUUUCUCUUAUGAUUUGAUGUAAGGCCUACUGUUAGGUCACUUUUCCCGAACUCAUAUUACAUCAUUAAUAUCAGUAAUAUUGGUAGUUACCUACUCUGUUUCUAUGGCUCUAUCUGAUAGUUAUACUAUGAUGAUUUAGUCCAUGAAAUGAUUUCAUCAUAUAUGCAAUUGAUUCUCACUAUUAUCAUCAUCCCUAUAAACUUUCAGUAAAAGAUGCCUCCCCGAAGCGCCCGAACAAAGGCAGACCUGCGACUCAAACUCCACCUCCACCGCCUCCUCCUCCACAGUUCGAUCCUGUGAUGUUUCAAACAGCUGUAACUGCAGCUGUAACGGCCGCUAUGGCUCAAAUGCAUUCCGGUGAUUCCAGUGGAGCUGGAAUGGGCAUCAACUCUAGACAUGGUGAAAUUCUCUCACGUACAUAGGGGUGUACUUAUAAAGAUUUCAAGAACUGCAAACCGACAUUUUUCAAUGGGACCGGAGGAAUCCUUGCUUUGUCCCAAUGGAUUGAAAGGACUGAAGCUGUCUUCGAAAUGUGUUCAUGCCCCGAAGAAAGCAAAAUAAAGUUUGCUGCUGCCACUUUUACUGGAGGGCCUUGACAUGGUGGAAUGGCCAUGUCAAAUCACUCUCCUUGGUAACAGCCAACGCUAUGGGACGGGACACACUGAAGGACCUACUGAUGAAUGAGUACUUCCCUAGGGGCGAAGUUCAGAAACUCGAAGAAGAACUUUGGAACCUCAAGAUGAAGGGGACCGACAUAAUAGCUUACACCGCUAGGUUCUGCGACCUGGUAGCUAUGUGUCCUAACAUGAUCCCUUCUGAAAGCAAGAAGAUAGAACGAUACAUCUGGGGUUUGGUGCCCCCGUAUAGAGGGAACGUUUUAGCAUCACGCCCUGCGACCUUUGACAGCGCCAAGGAAUUGGCUCAAACGCUGAUUGAUCAUGAAACUCCCUCCACCCCAUCAACAACCACGACGACUACCACUGCACCACCCAAAUCAACCGACAACAAGAGAAAGCUUUGGGAUCAGAAGAAGGGCAAGAAAACUCAAUCCUCCUCAAAAAACCAACAGAUGGUGGCCGUCCAUGCUGCCACCACUCUUACUACCCCCGUACCAGCCAAAUCCUAUGCUGGAAACUUACCCAAGUGCCCCAAGUGCCCCUUCCAUCACAACGGCCCAUGCCGUGAAUUGCACUACACCAAAUGCGAUCGGAAGGGCCAUACCGUCCGGUUUUGGAGAUCCCAACCCAAACCUAUCUCUCAAGUCCCAGCUCGGGAGUGAGCCAGGCCUGUUAUGGCUGCGGUGAGGUAGGUCAUUUCAAGAAAAACUGUCCGAAGGCCAGGAAUACAAGAGGAACGGGAAGACUACUCGCUAUUGGCCACAAUGAAGCAAUAGCGGACCCCACAGUAGUCACGGAUACAUUCCUUCUCAACAGCUCUUAUGCUUGUGUCUUAUUCGAUAGUGGUGCAGAAAGAAGCUUCAUAAACCAAAACUUUAAACACUUACUUAAGCAAUCCCCGCAACCAAUAAAAGAAACAUUCGUCAUAGAAAUGGCUCACGGAAAGAGAGAAAGCUCUAACGAUAUCUACAUAGGUUGCACCCUCACAAAAGAUGAUCAUUCAUUCCCAAUCGACCUCAUACCAGUUUCGAUCAAGAGUUUCGAUGUCAUUGUGGGCAUGGACUGGUUGAGUCUCCAUCGUGCGGAUAUGUUGUGGUUCGACAAAGCAAUCCGUAUAAAUCUACCGAAUAACGAAACUCUGUUAUUCUACGGAGACAAACCCAGUACGAGCCUUCGCAUCAUCUCAAGUAUUCAAGCCCAGAAGUACCUGCGUAAGGAAUAUCGUGCAUUCCUUGCAUACAUUGUUGACACGAGCCAGAAAAUGAAAGAUCUAAAAGACUUCCCCGUCGUAUGCGAUUUCCCCGACGUCUUUCCAGAAGAGCUCCCAGGUUUACCUCCCAAACUUCAGGUUGAGUUCAGAAUCGACCUAAUCCUAGGGGCUACCCCCGCAGCUAAAUCGCCCUAUCGUCUAGUGCCUGCUUAGAUGCAAGAACUGUCCGGUCAACUUAAUGAACUGCUCAGCAAGGGCUUUAUAAGACCAAGCUUCUCACCCUGGGGAGCACCAAUCUUGUUCGUAAAGAAGAAGGACGGAUCAUGUCGUAUGGUAUCGAUUAUAGAGAACUGAACAAGCUGACGGUCAAAAAUCGCUACCCUCUUCCCCGUAUAGACGACCUAUUCGACCAACUGCAAGGGGCGAGUUACUUUUCCAAGAUUGAUCUUAGGUCCGAGUACCACCAGUUACGAGUGCUUGAGGAGGAUGUUCCGAAAACAGCUUUCCGAACUCGUUACGGACACUACGAGUUCGUAGUAAUGUCGUUCGGACUGACCAACGCGCCUGCAAUAUUCAUGGAUUUAAUGAAUAGGGUGUGCAGUCCUUACAUGGAACAGUUCGCCAUCGUCUUCAUUGAUGACAUACUCAUCUACUCUCGAAGUAACGAGGAGCAUAAAAAUCACAUGCGACAAGUCCUAGAAACCAUACGAUCAGAGAAGCUAUAUGUGAAAUUCUCGAAGUGCGAAUUCUGGAUCCAAAUUCUUAGGACACGUGGCUAGAAAAGAGGGAAUCCACGUGGACCAUCCAAAAUCAAAAUUAUUGAAAACUGGUCAGCACCAAAGACACCUACAGAAAUUCGUCAAUUUCUAGGCCUCGCUGGCUACGACCGCAGAUUCAUUCAGAACUUCUCUCGGAUUGCGAAACCUCUCACCACAUUGACUCAGAAAGGCGUGACAUUUGACUAGGGAGAGAAACAGGAGAAGGCAUUCCAAACCCUGAAGCGAGCCCUAUGCACCGCACCGAUAUUAUCCCU
rnacentral:lncRNA from 1 species